UGCAACGCGAAGAACCUUACCUGGGCUUGAAGUGCAGUCGCAAUUCGCCGAAAGGCGAACCUCCUUCGGGACGACUGUAGAGGUGCUGCAUGGCUGUCGUCAGCUCGUGCCGUGAGGUGUUGGGUUAAGUCCCGCGACGAGCGCAACCCUUGUCCUUUGUUGCCAUCAGGUGAUGCUGGGCACUCUAAGGAGACUGCCCCGAAUAACGGGGAGGAAGGUGGGGAUGACGUCAAGUCCUCAUGGCCCUUACGUCCAGGGCUACACACGUGCUACAAUGGCCGGCACAACGGGAAGCAAUACCGUGAGAUGGAGCAAAUCCCUUAAAACCGGUCUCAGUUCGGAUUGCAGUCUGCAACUCGACUGCAUGAAGUCGGAAUCGCUAGUAAUCGCGGAUCAGCACGCCGUGGUGAUACGUUCCCGGGCCUUGUACACACCGCCCGUCACGCCAUGGAAGUCGGUAGCACCCGAA
rnacentral:rRNA from 1 species